AACGAACGCUGGCGGCAUGCCUAACACAUGCAAGUCGAACGAAACCUUCGGGUCUAGUGGCGCACGGGUGCGUAACGCGUGGGAACCUGCCCUUAGGUUCGGAAUAACUCCCCGAAAGGGGUGCUAAUACCGGAUAAUGUCUUCGGACCAAAGAUUUAUCGCCUUUGGAUGGGCCCGCGUUGGAUUAGCUAGUUGGUAGGGUAAAAGCCUACCAAGGCGACGAUCCAUAGCUGGUCUGAGAGGAGGAUCAGCCACACUGGGACUGAGACACGGCCCAGACUCCUACGGGAGGUAGCAGUGGGGAAUAUUGGACAAUGGGAGAAAGACUGAGCCAGCAAUGCCGAGUGAGUGAGGAAGGCCUUAGGGUUGUAAAGCUCUUUUACACGGGAUGAUAAUGACAGUACCGGGAGAAUAAGCUCCGGCUAACUCCGUG
rnacentral:rRNA from 1 species